rnacentral:ncRNA from 1 species
CCCGGCUGCGGGAAACUCAAAAGGGAAGCUGGGUGUGAAUCCCACACAAUGCCGUUGCUGUAUUGGCCGAGCAGGCCGCCACAAAGUCACUGGAUGGUUCCGGGAAGACGGCGGACUGCGCUUGGAGGCCUGAGUCAGAAGACCUGCCUGGAUAU